CUGGAAGUUUAUGAUUGCCCAAUGCUGAAGUGUGUGGAGAAGCUCGAGUCUCUGCAGAGCUUGACGCUGUUUGAUCAACAAGAGAAUAACACUAUUCUCCCUCAAUGGCUCAUCCUUUUCCUCCUACAACGUGAAAGGCCUCAUUAUGAUCGGUUCAUCUUGCAUUUGGUGUGCAGUGCCCAAGCAUUGCAUGACUGUUUGCAAGGUCAUAGAUACUGGUUGUUACUCCAGCAAGUACCACGCUUCACAGCCUAUACAGUGAACCGAGACAUGUAUUUGAAGUACACUAAAGAACCAUAUUAUUAUGAAACCAACAUCACUGAUGAGGAUCAGGAGCAUGAAAUCCUUUCUUUGAAUUAGAUCAUUAUCCAUUACUGCCAAAAUAAUAUGUGACUUGAUUAAAACUCAAGUUUAUAAUAACAUGAUGGUUUCAACUUACUUGAGAUUAUGUGCAAGUGUUCUUCAAUUUUCAAAGUGAGUUGAGCUCAUGAAGCUUAUGGAGCUCUCUGGAGGGAGAGUGUUCUUGUUUCUUUAGUAUAUUGGUGGAUUUAAUUAUAUGAUGUGCGACUAUGCAUACAUGCAAGGAAUGGUGCGAUUGAUUGAUCCCUCAGUAACAAUUCAAUCUGAUGAAGAGGAUUCUCAGGAGAAUUUUAUGUCUGAUUGAUGGCUUAAUUAUGCAGAUAAUGAGAUGUGACAUUUAUAAUGAUUAGUAUGUAUAUAUAUAUAUAUUGUAUGACUCAUUACAUUUCUACUACAAGAUAGUUCUUCAUAUCUUUACAAUUGUGAUAUGUAUGUUCUUGCCGAGAACUCUAGUGCUUUGGUGCAGGCCUAACUCUGGUGGACAUAUACUACAAUAUCAAAAGUCUCAUGACGAUGAAUUCCACUUGAGCACUUCAUCAGUGUUUGCAAGUGUGUCCAUAUUGAUUGUUCCUCUGGAAUGUACCCUGUUUUGUAGCCUGUGCAAAGGGCGGAAGCAUGUGUUUUAAGUACUCCAAGUAAACAUUUUUCUAUCAAACAAAUCUUGGUGAAAAUAUAUCAAUUGGUAUGAUCCAUGAAACCUCUUUGUUCAAUUUAUUUUUUUCUCUCUCUCAUGCCUAUAUAUUGAAAGUGUCUAAUUGGAUCAAAAUUAUGAUAUGCAUGCCUCAUGGUUGCAUAGCUGCUGCAUAUGUAUGUCUUAUGUGUAUUCAUUCAAUAACUUUUGAAUUACUUAUUUAUAUAAUUUAUGAUUUGGAAUUAAGCGCAUCACUUAUUUAAUUCUAUUUUGUUUACCCUGUAUUGUUUUUCACAGGUGGAAUGGUAGAUUAACAAAUUUUUAUGACAAAUAUGUGAAUUUAUUAUUACUCAACUGCAUGACAUGCUGUUUGAGAGUACAAAUCACUUGGGUUCUUCUGAGGCAGUUAUAUCUUUGCUGAUAUUUAAGUGUUGGAUGUCCAAUAGAACUUCAGAAAUUAUUAUGGAGCAUGGCUUUUGUAUAUGCAAUUCUGAUGAAUCGAAGCUCUCUGGAGGGGAAGGAUAGGUUGUUUCUUUAGUGCCGGUGGAUAUAUAUUAUGCUUGGAAUGGCUCAGAUUAAUUAAUUUGCACCGUGAGUUUUGGAGAUUGAUAGAACGGCAUGUGAGCUCUUUAAUAUUUGAUUUCCUUUACUCAUUUUUGUGAACAUACUUGUUUUUCUGAACAUUAAUGAAUGACAGUUUCAUAUGAGUUAAUUAUAUAGAAUGCUUUUUUUUCUUUGAAACUCAUGAUGUUACAGAAUAUGGUACAUAUUCUUUUCAUGUAUGUGUGAGCUGGUGGAAAUAUCACAUGUCAAAAUUGAAAUGUCUAUUUGAUAUUGAACAACAGAAUUGAUUGGUGGCUAUGCAAUUCGUUGGCUAAACUUCAAAACGAUGAAAAUGAAUCCAAUGUGCAAGCACAUCAUGAUCAAAACCAAGAUACAGCACUAAUUCUGGCUCACAACAGAAUUGAUGAAAAGAGGAUUGCUUUAAGUGUUGGUGUUUACUUUGGGGCGGAAUUUGUAUCUAUUACAGAACCCUUUUUAUUUUUAAGAGAAAUAUGGGGAAACCAUGGAUAAAACUCAAGUCUGGUUGGAAACUGAAAUAAAAUACCAACUCUCAAGUUGGAGAGGUGGUCAAACUAUAUAUGAAGCUCUUAUUUCUUAUGUAAGCAAAGCAUGAACCAAAGACAGUGUCCCUGAUUUUAUAGUUGUAAAUCUCAAUUUUAUUUAUUUUAAUUUUAUUUCAUUUA